CCCUGGCAUUAAGUUUUCCAUGACAUAUCUAAGAAUUUGCUUUGUAGAUGUUUUCAUGACACUGAGGGAGAGGGGAACUCCUUCAGUUUGAUAGGAGAAUGGCAUAAAAUAUGAAAUAUUCCUGUCCAAAAAGUGUUAUUUCAAAUAGAUGAGUGAGUCUGUUUUGAAUGCGUAAAAGACAGGAGUCACUGGAAGAGCUGGGAUCCUCACAAUUUGAGCCCCACUGACACUACUGAGGGUGUGAUCAGAUGAAGAUACAACUCAGCCAAUGCCACUGUUGGUGACAUGGUCCAGUGCAGGCUAUUUUACAGUGAUCAGAUAACAUACAAUGAACCACUAUUGAUCCUAAUGGCGGCCAUCACGUACAAUGGACCACUAUUCUCCUUGCUUCAGCAUA